UCGUCAGUAGGUUGGUCGUGCCACCGGUACGUACUGGUCUCACUGAUUCCUCCUUCCUGAAGAACCGUAAUGCCAUUAAUUUGGUGUUGCGGGGAAACAGGACUGUUACUUUGAAAAAAUUAGAGUGUUUAAAGCAAGCUAACGCUUGAAUACAUUAGCAUGGAAUAAUGAAAUAGGACGAUCGACCCUAUUUUGUUGGUUUCUAGGAUUGACGUA
rnacentral:rRNA from 1 species